GAUACUGCUUGUGUGACGCAAAGUGAAUUCUGCCCAGUGCUUGGGACGUUAAGGAAGUAAUUUUAAGUACGCACCUGUAAACGGCGGGAGUAACUAUGACUCUCUUAAGGUAGCCAAAUGCCUCGUCGCCUAAUUAGCGACGCGCAUGAAUGGAGCAACGAGAUUCCCACUGUCCCUGCUCACAGAUUUGCGAACCUACAGCCAAGGGAACGGGCUUGGGACAUGCAGCGGGGAAAGAAGACCCUGUUGAGCUUGACUCUAGCCAAGCACAGGCCUCUGUGACUAUAUCGUAGCGAGGUGGGAGAAAUGUGUGAGACCACUGACAUAGUCGGCGGGGGCACUCGCAAAGCUUGGUGGGGAGUUUGGCUGGGGCGGCACGACUACUAAAACAUAACGUAGACGUCCAAAGGUAAGCUCCGAGGGGAUGGAAACCACUCCGAGAGUAUAAGGGCAAAAGCUUGCUUUAGUUAUUAAUGUAAAUUAAUAAUACUGGAAACAGGGGCCUAGAGAUCCUCUAUGAAACUAAGCAUAGAGGUGACGGAAAAGUUACCACAGGGAUAACUGGCUUGUGGCGGCCGAGCGUCCAUAGCGACGCCGCUUUUUGAUUCUUCGAUGUCGGCUCUUCCGAGCAUGGUGGAGUAUCAGCCACCAAGUGUGUGAUUGUUCACCAACUAACAGGGAACGUGAGCUGGGUUUAGACCGUCGCGAGACAGGUUAGUUUACCCUACUGCAUCGCGUCCGAGAGUAGUCGGGGCAUACGAGAGAAGUGCGAUCAGACCGCUGGGAUCUUCGUCUGUAGGCGCGAGUGUACUACGUCUCUAUAUACUGAAGCUCUACUGAUGAU
rnacentral:ncRNA from 1 species